rnacentral:tRNA from 1 species
GCCGGGGUGGCCGAGCGGCCCAAGGCGCGGGACUUGAGAUCCCGUCCCCGCAAGGGGGCGUGGGUUCAAAUCCCACCCCCGGCG